GACGAACGCUGGCGGCGUGCUUAACACAUGCAAGUCGAACGGAAAGGCCCUGCUUUUGUGGGGUGCUCGAGUGGCGAACGGGUGAGUAACACGUGAGUAACCUGCCCUUGACUUUGGGAUAACUUCAGGAAACUGGGGCUAAUACCGGAUAGGAGCUCCUGCUGCAUGGUGGGGGUUGGAAAGUUUCGGCGGUUGGGGAUGGACUCGCGGCUUAUCAGCUUGUUGGUGGGGUAGUGGCUUACCAAGGCUUUGACGGGUAGCCGGCCUGAGAGGGUGACCGGCCACAUUGGGACUGAGAUACGGCCCAGACUCCUACGGGAGGCAGCAGUGGGGAAUAUUGCACAAUGGGCGGAAGCCUGAUGCAGCAACGCCGCGUGCGGGAUGACGGCCUUCGGGUUGUAAACCGCUUUCGCCUGUGACGAAGCGUGAGUGACGGUAAUGGGUAAAGAAGCACCGGCUAACUACGUGCCAGCAGCCGCGGUGAUACGUAGGGUGCGAGCGUUGUCCGGAUUUAUUGGGCGUAAAGGGCUCGUAGGUGGUUGAUCGCGUCGGAAGUGUAAUCUUGGGGCUUAACCCUGAGCGUGCUUUCGAUACGGGUUGACUUGAGGAAGGUAGGGGAGAAUGGAAUUCCUGGUGGAGCGGUGGAAUGCGCAGAUAUCAGGAGGAACACCAGUGGCGAAGGCGGUUCUCUGGGCCUUUCCUGGCGCUGAGGAGCGAAAGCGUGGGGAGCGAACAGGCUUAGAUACCCUGGUAGUCCACGCUGUAAACGGUGGGUACUAGGUGUGGGGUCCAUUCCACGGGUUCCGUGCCGUAGCUAACGCUUUAAGUACCCCGCCUGGGGAGUACGGCCGCAAGGCUAAAACUCAAAGGAAUUGACGGGGCCCCGCACAAGCGGCGGAGCAUGCGGAUUAAUUCGAUGCAACGCGUAGAACCUUACCUGGGUUUGACAUGGAUCGGGAGUGCUCAGAGAUGGGUGUGCCUCUUUUGGGGUCGGUUCACAGGUGGUGCAUGGCUGUCGUCAGCUCGUGUCGUGAGAUGUUGGGUUAAGUCCCGCAACGAGCGCAACCCUUGUUCACUGUUGCCAGCACGUUAUGGUGGGGACUCAGUGGAGACCGCCGGGGUCAACUCGGAGGAAGGUGGGGAUGACGUCAAGUCAUCAUGCCCCUUAUGUCCAGGGCUUCACGCAUGCUACAAUGGCUGGUACAGAGAGUGGCGAGCCUGUGAGGGUGAGCGAAUCUCGGAAAGUCGGUCUCAGUUCGGAUUGGGGUCUGCAACUCGACCUCAUGAAGUCGGAGUCGCUAGUAAUCGCAGAUCAGCAACGCUGCGGUGAAUACGUUCCCGGGGCU
rnacentral:rRNA from 1 species